UACGUAGGCAGCAAGCGUUGUUCGGAGUUACUGGGCGUAAAGGGUGUGUAGGCGGUUGCUUAAGUUUGGUGUGAAAUCUCCCGGCUCAACUGGGAGGGUGCGCCGAAUACUGAGUGACUCGAGUGCGGGAGAGGAAAGUGGAAUUCCUGGUGUAGCGGUGAAAUGCGUAGAUAUCAGGAGGAACACCGGUGGUGUAGACGGCUUUCUGGACCGUAACUGACGCUGAAACACGAAAGCGUGGGUAGCAAACGGG
rnacentral:rRNA from 1 species